rnacentral:rRNA from 1 species
AUUGAACGCUGGCGGCAUGCCUUACACAUGCAAGUCGAACGGCAGCGGACCUUCGGGUGCCGGCGAGUGGCGAACGGGUGAGUAAUAUAUCGGAACGUACCUUUCAGUGGGGGAUAACGUAGCGAAAGUUACGCUAAUACCGCAUAUUCUGUGAGCAGGAAAGCAGGGGAUCGCAAGACCUUGCGCUGAUUGAGCGGCCGAUAUCAGAUUAGCUAGUUGGUGAGGUAAAGGCUCACCAAGGCGACGAUCUGUAGCGGGUCUGAGAGGAUGAUCCGCCACACUGGAACUGAGACACGGUCCAGACUCCUACGGGAGGCAGCAGUGGGGAAUUUUGGACAAUGGGCGCAAGCCUGAUCCAGCAAUGCCGCGUGCAGGAUGAAGGCCUUCGGGUUGUAAACUGCUUUUGUACGGACGAAACGGCUCUUUCUAAUAAAGGGAGCUAAUGACGGUACCGUAAGAAUAAGCACCGGCUAACUACGUGCCAG